rnacentral:rRNA from 1 species
GACGAAGGAUGCAAGCGUUAUCCGGAUUCAUUGGGUUUAAAGGGCGCGUAGGCGGACUUAUAAGUCAGUGGUGAAAUCUCCUUGCUUAACAAGGAAACUGCCAUUGAUACUGUAGGUCUUGAGUACAGUUGCCGUUGGCGGAAUAUGACAUGUAGUGGUGAAAUACUUAGAUAUGUCAUAGAACACCGAUUGCGAAGGCAGCUAACGAAGCUGUAACUGACGCUGAGGCUCGAAAGUGCGGGGAUCAAACAGG